UGAAACAUCUUAGUACCCGGAGGAAGAGAAAGAAAAUUCGAUUCCCUUAGUAGCGGCGAGCGAAACGGGAAGAGCCCAAACCAACAAGCUUGCUUGUUGGGGUUGUAGGACACUCUAUACGGAGUUACAAAGGACGACAUUAGACGAAUCAUCUGGAAAGAUGAAUCAAAGAAGGUAAUAAUCCUGUAGUCGAAAAUGUUGUCUCUCUUGAGUGGAUCCUGAGUACGACGGAGCACGUGAAAUUCCGUCGGAAUCUGGGAGGACCAUCUCCUAAGGCUAAAUACUCUCUAGUGACCGAUAGUGAACCAGUACCGUGAGGGAAAGGUGAAAAGCACCCCGGAAGGGGAGUGAAAUAGAACCUGAAACCGUGUGCUUACAAGUAGUCAGAGCCCGUUAAUGGGUGAUGGCGUGCCUUUUGUAGAAUGAACCGGCGAGUUACGAUUUGAUGCAAGGUUAAGCAGUAAAUGUGGAGCCGUAGCGAAAGCGAGUCUGAAUAGGGCGUUUAGUAUUUGGUCGUAGACCCGAAACCAGGUGAUCUACCCUUGGUCAGGUUGAAGUUCAGGUAACACUGAAUGGAGGACCGAACCGACUUACGUUGAAAAGUGAGCGGAUGAACUGAGGGUAGCGGAGAAAUUCCAAUCGAACCUGGAGAUAGCUGGUUCUCUCCGAAAUAGCUUUAGGGCUAGCCUCAAGUGAUGAUUAUUGGAGGUAGAGCACUGUUUGGACGAGGGGCCCCUCUCGGGUUACCGAAUUCAGACAAACUCCGAAUGCCAAUUAAUUUAACUUGGGAGUCAGAACAUGGGUGAUAAGGUCCGUGUUCGAAAGGGAAACAGCCCAGACCACCAGCUAAGGUCCCAAAAUAUAUGUUAAGUGGAAAAGGAUGUGGCGUUGCCCAGACAACUAGGAUGUUGGCUUAGAAGCAGCCAUCAUUUAAAGAGUGCGUAAUAGCUCACUAGUCGAGUGACACUGCGCCGAAAAUGUACCGGGGCUAAACAUAUUACCGAAGCUGUGGAUUGUCCUUUGGACAAUGGUAGGAGAGCGUUCUAAGGGCGUUGAAGCAUGAUCGUAAGGACAUGUGGAGCGCUUAGAAGUGAGAAUGCCGGUGUGAGUAGCGAAAGACGGGUGAGAAUCCCGUCCACCGAUUGACUAAGGUUUCCAGAGGAAGGCUCGUCCGCUCUGGGUUAGUCGGGUCCUAAGCUGAGGCCGACAGGCGUAGGCGAUGGAUAACAGGUUGAUAUUCCUGUACCACCUAUAAUCGUUUUAAUCGAUGGGGGGACGCAGUAGGAUAGGCGAAGCGUGCGAUUGGAUUGCACGUCUAAGCAGUAAGGCUGAGUAUUAGGCAAAUCCGGUACUCGUUAAGGCUGAGCUGUGAUGGGGAGAAGACAUUGUGUCUUCGAGUCGUUGAUUUCACACUGCCGAGAAAAGCCUCUAGAUAGAAAAUAGGUGCCCGUACCGCAAACCGACACAGGUAGUCAAGAUGAGAAUUCUAAGGUGAGCGAGCGAACUCUCGUUAAGGAACUCGGCAAAAUGACCCCGUAACUUCGGGAGAAGGGGUGCUCUUUAGGGUUAACGCCCAGAAGAGCCGCAGUGAAUAGGCCCAAGCGACUGUUUAUCAAAAACACAGGUCUCUGCUAAACCGUAAGGUGAUGUAUAGGGGCUGACGCCUGCCCGGUGCUGGAAGGUUAAGAGGAGUGGUUAGCUUCUGCGAAGCUACGAAUCGAAGCCCCAGUAAACGGCGGCCGUAACUAUAACGGUCCUAAGGUAGCGAAAUUCCUUGUCGGGUAAGUUCCGACCCGCACGAAAGGCGUAACGAUUUGGGCACUGUCUCAACGAGAGACUCGGUGAAAUCAUAGUACCUGUGAAGAUGCAGGUUACCCGCGACAGGACGGAAAGACCCCGUGGAGCUUUACUGUAGCCUGAUAUUGAAAUUCGGCACAGCUUGUACAGGAUAGGUAGGAGCCUUUGAAACGUGAGCGCUAGCUUACGUGGAGGCGCUGGUGGGAUACUACCCUAGCUGUGUUGGCUUUCUAACCCGCACCACUUAUCGUGGUGGGAGACAGUGUCAGGCGGGCAGUUUGACUGGGGCGGUCGCCUCCUAAAAGGUAACGGAGGCGCUCAAAGGUUCCCUCAGAAUGGUUGGAAAUCAUUCAUAGAGUGUAAAGGCAUAAGGGAGCUUGACUGCGAGACCUACAAGUCGAG
rnacentral:rRNA from 1 species